AAGAGUCCUAAAGCAACCUGAGGAACAAUGCAAGAUACCCUGCAGGGUUAUCAGCCUCCUACAAGGGAGUCCCAGGCCCAUGACUCUUUCCAGAAAGAUUCUCCAUUCCUCAUUUUCCUCUAUGGCUACUAGUCAAUUUCUGAGGUUUGACUGAAUUAUCAAAUUCAAAUCUGCCCAGAUGUCAGUGUUAUCAUUUUCGUGUCUCCUGAUGGAAAUAUUCUUUGAUUGGUUACUAAGACCUCUAAACCAGCAGAGCCCAUAGUUGAGGAAAUGAGAAUGAAAAACUAUCUAAGUGGGUUAUUAGAUGUAAUAAUGAACGAUGUUAACACUCAUUUCUUUUCUUUUUUGAAACAGGGUCUUUCUCUGUCACCCAAGCUGGAGUGCAAUGGUGUAAUCAUAGCUCACUGCAGCCUCGACUCCUGGGCUCAACUCUCACUUCAGGCACGUACGUGUCUCACCCAAGGCAUCGAAAAUACCUGGGCAUGCUGGCUGUCAUCUGGAGGCAAUCAGAGAUGGUAAGAAUGCCCGGUAUAAAGAGAAUUGGCAACGGUAACUCCCUGUAGCAAGGUGGGUUCCCUGACAGAAGAGGAAAAGGAGGGAGAGCUGCAUUUGCUGAGAUCAACAGAGUGACAUCCUAGGGUCUGAGCCUCAACCCUCCAGGCCGCAAGCCUCCCACUUCCACUCCACCAACCUUGACUUGUGGAACAUGCAUCCUCCUGGGGAUAAACCUCUACCAAGAUGUUCUUGUAAGAGUGGCUGCAAGUGCCUGCAUCAGAACCUCAGGAAAGCUGAUAAAGUUGAAGAGUCCUUGCUUUCCUCACUUGGGAGGGGGUGCUGCUGCUGGCAUUUAAGAUGAUUCUGAUUCAUGCUACAGUCUGACAACCUACAAAGCUGCAUGGAAGAAAACUCUCUUCCACAUGGCCUGGAGAGACCUAAGCAUCCACGUGCUCACUGCUCUCAGUGCUCAGAGAAGAGAACACCUGGGAAAUUGUCUUUGAAUUAUAUAGAACAAGUUGUCCACUAAAUGAAUAACAUCUGGAAGCAUUCCAACCUGGUAAAGCCCCUUGAGUGUUGCCUAUGAUGUGGGUGCAUCUGAUUCCAGGUCAUAUGUGCAAUGCUCUGCUGCAGACACUUUAGCUUUCAGAUUUUGUGGAAUAUUGUUACAGGAACACAGGUCUAUGCAAUGAGGUCUUGUAGCUGCUUCCUAAGCUUUGCACAUCAAUCCAUCAGCUCUAACAUUCUGGACAAUAUUAUUGCUGGCUACAAUAGUACUAUUUAUAAUAGUUCAAAUGAAUCAGAUUGAUUUUCUCCUUGAACACUAGAAUAUUUACUCUGAAUCAUCAAGGGCAAAAGGUCAAUUCCCCUCAAAAAGAUCAUGCAACCCUCUCUAUCAGAGGAUAAACAAUUCUUCAAGUAUUGAGGAAAGAAAAAUGACUUUGGGCCAGGCAUGGUGGCUCACACCUAUAAUCCCAGCACUUUGGGAGGCCGAGGAGGGAGACCUCACUUGAGGUCAGGAGUUCGAGACCAGCCUCGGUAAUAUGGUGAAACCCCAUCUCUACUAAAAACACAAAAAUUAGCUGGGCAUGGUGGCAGGAGCCUGUAAUCCCAGCUAUUUGGGAGGCUGAGGCAGUAGAAUCACUUGAACCCGGGAGGUGGAGGUUGCAGUGAGCCACGAUUGCACUAUUGCACUCCAGCCUGGGUGACAGAGCGAGACU
rnacentral:lncRNA from 1 species